UGGCAUAGUGGUUAAAGCUCUCGGCUGCUAACUGAAAGGCCGGUGGUUCGAACCCACC
rnacentral:tRNA from 1 species